rnacentral:rRNA from 1 species
UUCCGGUUGAUCCUGCCGGACCCCACUGCUAUCGGGAUGGGACUAAGACAUGCUAGUCGUGCGUCUUCAAGUCAUGGUGGAGACGCGGCACACAGCUCAGUAACACGUGGCUAACCUAACCUUGGGACAAGGACAACCCCGGGAAACUGGGGAUAAUCCUUGAUGGGUGAGGACUCCUGGAAUGGAUUCUCGCUGAAAGGGCGUUUAGACCAUGCAUUAGGCGUCGCCCAAGGAUGGGGCCGCGGCCGAUCAGGUUGUUGGUGAGGUAAUGGCUCACCAAGCCUUUAACCGGUACGGGCCGUGAGAGCGGGAGCCCGGAGAUGGGCACUGAGACAAGGGCCCAGGCCCUACGGGGCGCAGCAGUCGCGAAAACUCACCAAUGCACGAAAGUGCGAGUGGGCCAUCCCGAGUGCCAUCCGCUGAGGACGGCUUUUCCCUAGUGUAUAAAGCUGGGGGAAUAAGGAGAGGGCAAGUCUGGUGUCAGCCGCCGCGGUAAUACCAGCUCUCCGAGUGGUGGGGAUGCUUAUUGGGCCUAAAGCAUUCGUAGCCUGUUGGGCAAGUCCUUCGUUAAAUCCACCGAUUCAAUCGUUGGACUGCGGGGGAUACUGUCCAGCUAGGGGGCGGGAGAGGCCGACGGUAUUCUCGGGGUAGGGGUGAAAUCCUAUAAUCCCGGGAGGACCACCAGUGGCGAAGGCUGUCGGCUAGAACGCGCUCGACGGUGAGGGAUGAAAGCUGGGGUAGCGAACCGGAUUAGAUACCCGGGUAGUCCCAGCUGUAAACGAUGCAGGCUAGGUGUUAGGACGGCUACGUGCCGUUCUAGUGCCGCAGGGAAGCUAUUAAGCCUGCCGCCUGGGUAGUACGGCCGCAAGGCUGAAACUUAAAGGAAUUGGCGGGGGAGCACCACAAGGGGUGAAGCUUGCGGUUUAAUUGGAGUCAACGCCGGG